rnacentral:rRNA from 1 species
AUAUUAAAGUUGUUGCAGUUAAAAAGCUCGUAGUUGGAUCUAGGGACGCGCAUUUCAAGCGCCCGUGUCGUUGGGUCAAACCAGCGACUGCGUUGGCGUUGCGGGCUCGGUCCGUCGGUGCCCACAAAGCACUGGCGUGUCAACCGGCCCGCCCGUCCCCUCCUUCUGGAUUCCCGUUCCUGCUAUUGAGUUAGUGGGGACGUCACAGGGAGCUCAUCGUCGUCAGCAAUGCCGGCGGUGGGUUCCUGGGGCCCAGAUCGUUUACCGUGAAAAAAUUAGAGUGUUCAAAGCAGGCAGAUCCAAUUUUCUGCCACCGAAUACAUUAGCAUGGGAUAAUGGAAUAGGACCCUGUCCUCCUAUUUUCAGUUGGUUUUGGCAGCGCGAGGACUAGGGUAAUGAUUAAUAGGGAUAGUUGGGGGCAUUAAUAUUUAAUUGUCAGAGGUGAAAUUCUGGAUUUAUGAAAGAUUAACUUCUGCGAAAGCAUCUGCCAAGGAUGUUUUCAUUAAUCAAGAACGAAAGUUAGGGGAUCGAAGACGAUCAGAUACCGUCGUAGUCUUAACCAUAAACGAUGCCGACCAGCGAUUAGGAGACGUUGAAUACAAAACACCACCAUCGGUGCGGUCGUCCUUGGCGUCUCGGUUUCGGCCGGGGUGCGGGGACGGCUUAGCCCGGUGGCACCGGUGAAUGACUCCCCUAGCAGCUUGUGAGAAAUCAUAAGUCUUUGGGUUCCGGGGGGAGUAUGGUCGCAAGGCUGAAACUUAAAGGAAUUGACG